UACAGAGGUCCCAAGCGUUGUUCGGAUUUACUGGGCGUAAAGGGUGCGUAGGUGGUCGGGUAAGUCUCAUGUGAAAUCUCCAAGCUUAACUUGGAAAUGGCAUGGGAUACUAUUCGGCUAGAGGAUUGGAGGGGGGACUGGAAUUUCCGGUGUAGCGGUGAAAUGCGUAGAUAUCGGAAGGAACAUCAGUGGCGAAGGCGACUUCCUGGACCAAUACUGACGCUCAGGUGCGAAAGCGUGGGGAGCAAACAGG
rnacentral:rRNA from 1 species